AUGUAACUCAGAAGAUGAAUUUUGGGUGGAGAGUCUGAAAGAUAAGAGGGCUUCUCAAAUAGGCAUGAUAAGCCCUGAAAAAAAUGGGCAGCAGUUUUGAUCACAGUCAAGAGAUUUUUCUAACUCAAAAGCCCCUCUUUUUUCCCCUCUAAAAUCAGGGCUUAUUCCCAAUAGUCACAGUAGUCACUGCAGUUAUUUGUCUUUAGCAACUCCCAAAUAUGUCAGGGGUGGAAGUGGAGAAGGAAUUCACCAUUUCAGUGAUUCUGCAGAAGUUGGGCAGAGAUCUUAAGUGGAGAAACAGUUUGAUGGUACAGCCAUCUUCCUCAGAGCAACUUCAGAUUCUCCCAGGGAAUCAGAAGCCAUAUGGGCACCCAAGAGGAAGCAGUCAGGCAGAAGAUUUCUUUAUUUCUUCAGCCGUAGCCACCUCCUUGCUUUUCAGAAAGAGAAGAUUUGGAUGAACAGCCUCUGGGUUUGAGUUUGCCUGGAAGAAGUAGGUCAUGGCUGAAAGGGGCUUAGAGUAUAUUUUGUAACAUGCUGAAUGCUGGUGAUGAAACUCAUGUGACUCCUAAAAAUGUUUUGGAGACUGUGAGCCUUAUAGAAGACAAAAAUGAAGACUCAGGCCUUUGGAUCAGAGUAGUCUCCUUCGUGGCGGCUGGAGAAGAGGACAGAGACGCCCAUGGCUUGUCCCUCGCUGUCAGGACUGGGCAUUCCUCACUGGAUGGUUCCUGCAGCACACUUGUACAGAGCUUGUGCCUGUUGCUGCUGCCCUCCGGAGUACCACCUGAGGAUCGAGCCAGCAGAAGAUAUCUAAGGAAGUGGGCUCCUGACUAGCCUGACAUCUCAGAGUUCCUGAGGCGCAUAUGCAGAGCAAGCUGUGUUUUGGCCACUGUUCUAGAUACUGAUCAUAGAGAGAGCGAAGUGUCCAAGUUGGCUGAACCACAAAAUCAAUGCAUCCCUUGAUUUCUCCUCUCCGUCCCCUUCCUCAUAGCUGCCCCCAGGAGGAUUCUCAUGUGUGACUAAUCGGAGUUUUAAAGCUGGAGCUGCAAAAAGAACCAAGACUUCAUUAAUAGAGCAAAUCACAGAGGCCACCCUGUCUGCAUACUCAGGAUUGAGGUUGGCCUUUUGGCCUUGCGGAUAGAAGACGCAAGAUCAGGGAAAAGGCUGGGGUCACGUUGGUCCAGCUUGGUUGUUACCCUGAACAAGUGAAUGAGACUUUGACCCAUGGGGCAUGCAUGGUGUGGUGCACAGGGUGGCAAGUCCUGCAAACAUGUAACCGCCUGUUGGUCCUGGCCUGCAGAGUUAGCCUGACACUAUAACCAGACAAAGAAAUGGAAGAAAGUAAUAGCCACAAGAGCUGAACAGCUGGUCCUUGUUUUUGCACCUAUGCCUUUUAAUCCCUAGUGCAACUGGAAAGGCAGUUUCUUUUAUCCACUCAUUCUUUAAAAAACAAACAAACAAACAAACAAAAACCAAUUAACUUUAAAACAUGAGACAACAGACUUUGGUGAGGUUGGGGGAAGAAAGUGUUAAGUAACUUCCCCAAACUUCCCUAAGGUCACUCAGCUAAGAAGUGGCAGAGCCAGGACUCAAACCCAAGUCUGAAUAUCUGAAACCCAGGACCUUGCUGCCAAACUUGCUCUGGUUGGCGUGUACUGUGACCUGGUAGCUAAACUAGCAUUCAACUUUAUUCCAUCCUUCUGAUUCCUCAGGCUGUCAAAAACAUCUUAAGAAGAUGGGGAGGGCAGUACCUCCCUGCAAGUUGGGGAAUCUGGCUGAGUCAGUCACUGGGACAGAGUGGAGCCCCC
rnacentral:lncRNA from 10 species